UCUUGAUUUAUCCGACAACCAGCCCAGUAGUGUCAUUCUAGAAGGCAUAUCUUCUUUAACAGAGCUAACGUGGUAAAGCGUGCUCAACUUUUUUGGUACGGUCUCGGAAGGAAUCAGUGAGUUACCCAAUCUCAACACUUUACUUCUCUGGAACAACAAUCCUAGCGACAUUCUCCCACAAAAAUUGGGUUCAAAUAACUUGCUAUCACUUGAUGUCUCGACGAAUUCUCUCACGGGUCCAAUCCUGCCAAUUCUUUGCUAUGGGAACAAGCUAUUCAAACUCUUACUGUUUAACAACAUGUUCAAGCAUGAGCUACCUGGAAGCUUUGUAAACUGCACUUCACUUUCAAGAUUCCGAAUCCAAAACAAUCUUCUCAACUGUACCAUUUCUUACUGUUUCGGACUGUUGAAAAACCUCACGUUUGUGGAGGUGAGUAAGAACGACUUUACCAGCGAGAUUUAGAAGGAUUUUGGCUAUGCACCGAUGUUACAGUUUCUUAACACCUUCGAGAACUCUUUCAAUGCAGCGUUGUCGAGCAACAUUUGGGGUGCACCAAGUUUGCAGAUAUUCUCAGCUAGUUCGGCUAAGCUAACUGGGGAAAUCUCUAAUUUCAUCGGUUGUAAAAACAUCUACAAAAUCGAGCUCCAAGGUAGUUCUCUAAACGGAAGCAUCCCCUGGUACAUUGAUCAUUGUGAAAAGCUUGUCUUCGAAUUUAAGCAGAAAUUUUUUUACUGGAAUAAUUUCAUGGAAAUAUUGACGCUUCCUUCAAUAACUGUUGAUAUUUCGCAUAAUUUGCCCACCGGAACUAUCCCUUCAAACUUCGAAAACUGUAGCACUUUUUCUAUAACUUGCUAACCGGCCCAAUCCCAUCGCCUGGUCUGAUAUUUCCUAACUUACACCCUUCAUUGUUUUGCGGUAACAACAGCCUUUACGGCAAAAUUUUAGCGAGAUUAUGCCUAGUUGAGGCGAUUGCCAUAGGUGACAUGGAAGUUCGUAACUAGCUGCAGCAGCCAAAGAAAAUGACUGGAGUUAUCAUUUGGAUUAUGGCAGCCGUUUUUGGGAUUGGUUUGUUUGUUCUCAUAGUUGGUACCCGAUGUUUCCAUGUGAAUUACAGUUGCAGGUUCAGUGACGAUCGUGAGAUCAGACCAUGUAUAUUGAUCACCUUCUAGCGUUUCAUUUUCAUUGCUGAUGAUGUUACUAGUGUCUUUCGAUGGCAGACAAGAUCAUAGGGAUAGAUCCACGAGAACGAUAUGCAAAGCGGAGAUGCCCCGCGGCGAAAUCAUAGCGGUGAAGUUGUGUGGUAAGAAUAAAGAGAUCAUCUAGCGCGGAAAUGUGUGUGGCAGAGGUUGACGUGCUGGGGAACGUCAGGCACCGUAACAUAGUUAGAUUGUUAGGUUGUUGCAGCAACAGGGAGUGUACGAUGCUCUGCUCCAUUAUUGCAUGCCAAGAACAAAGGGGAGAACUUGGUGGCCGAUUGGGUGACAAGAGAGAUGGAGGUCAGAGUGACAGAUUUUAGAGUUGCCAAGUUGAUCCAGAGUGAUGACUGAUGAGUCCAUGUCUUUCAUUGUCGGCUGGCUCCUAUGGAUACAUUGCUCCAGUUCGAACCCGACGGACUGGCCAUCGAUGAGGGAUGUUUUGAUGAUGUUGCAAGAAGCCAGGUCCAUGAGGAAACUACU